AGAAAAUUCAUCGAGAAGUACAACUUUGAUCCAGUGAACGAGAAGCCCCUUCCCGGACGUUACGAAUGGGUGAAAGUAAACCAUUAGACAUGGACAUAAAGGAGAGGGGAGGUUACAAAUUACAACAUUCCGUCGGCCUCGUUUCAUCUCUAGACUUUAGACAAAGAUAGGAAACCAUAGCAUGUAAGUUUUAGUUUUACAACUGGUGUUGUGAGUGGUGAAACCUCUAUUUCCCCUCACUCUCUGACUUGUAAAGUCUUUUAGAAGGUUAGACUAAUAUGAUCUGUGUAACAUAACAGUU
rnacentral:misc_RNA from 1 species